rnacentral:tRNA from 1 species
GUUUGGAUAGCUCAGUCGGUAGAGCUUGAGACUCUUAAUCUUAGGGUCGUGGGUUCAAGCCCCACAUUGGGCA